CCUACGGGAGGCAGCAGUGGGGAAUUUUGGACAAUGGGCGAAAGCCUGAUCCAGCAAUGCCGCGUGAGUGAAGAAGGCCUUCGGGUUGUAAAGCUCUUUUGUCAGGGAAGAAACGGUGAGGGCUAAUAUCUCUUGCUAAUGACGGUACCUGAAGAAUAAGCACCGGCUAACUACGUGCCAGCAGCCGCGGUAAUACGUAGGGUGCAAGCGUUAAUCGGAAUUACUGGGCGUAAAGCGUGCGCAGGCGGUUUUGUAAGUCUGUCGUGAAAUCCCCGGGCUCAACCUGGGAAUUGCGGUGGAGACUGCAAGGCUAGAAUCUGGCAGAGGGGGGUAGAAUUCCACGUGUAGCAGUGAAAUGCGUAGAGAUGUGGAGGAACACCGAUGGCGAAGGCAGCCCCCUGGGUCAAGAUUGACGCUCAUGCACGAAAGCGUGGGGAGCAAACAGGAUUAGAUACCCUGGUAGUCCACGCCCUAAACGAUGUCUACUAGUUGUCGGGUUUUAAUUAACUUGGUAACGCAGCUAACGCGUGAAGUAGACCGCCUGGGGAGUACGGUCGCAAGAUUAAAACUCAAAGGAAUUGACGG
rnacentral:rRNA from 1 species